GAUAUAGCUCAGUUGGUAGAGUACUUGCUUUGCAUGCAUAAGGCGCUGGGUUGGAUCCCCAGCAUC
rnacentral:tRNA from 1 species